rnacentral:lncRNA from 1 species
CAAACAAAGUCCUUCCAUUGGCUCCCUUCCCAGGCAGCUUCUGCUAGUAUUUAGUAGGUACUAGUGCAGUGUAGGGCCCUUUUCUCAGGCAAAACCUAACAUCUGACCGCACCCUCUUUGCUAUUUCAAGAAAAAGAGAAAAAAAGCUUCUUUUUUCCUUCUUUCGUUAUAAGAUAAAUUCUCUAGUAGACAACCUCUCCCACUAAUUGUGUAUUAGCAGUGUAUUUUAUCUUGAGAGCUGACGCACUGGGCUUUCGACGUGGUGUGGAAAGCAGCCUGUUACAGUGCUGAAUUCAUAAAAAGGCCUUCAUGGUUUGUGAAAGAAUAUCUGUGUGCUUAGGCAGGAAACUUUUUGAUCUGCAGAAAAGCCAGAAGACAUCUAGAUACAUUAUUAUAACUGAAGAAGUGCAAGAGUUGGGAAGACACAGUCAGUUUUCCCUAUGAAAACCUACACCGUGCCAUGCCUUGCCCUAUUUUGGACUCUCACAGAAGCAAAUCCUCAGGAUUAUGCUCAACUGCUCAGAACAGGUGUUUCCUACAAGGCCACAAGGGUAUCUUCAACGAUUAUACAGAGGAAAUUUUAUUCACCUAUAAAGAAGUCCCUAACUGCAACUCUGAUUUCACAUGCUUUUUACUGGACAAGUCAUUAAGUUAUUCGGAAUGAGGAAAGGAUCUUGGUCAUCAUUCCUUUUUCUUUUCUUUUCUUUUUUAUAGUUUGUUGCUGAUCUUUUAAACUCCAGAGCUUGAAAUAAUAUUUUAAAUGUAUAUUUUCACAAUGUCUUUGUUUCCAAUGUUCUGGUUCAGUCAUUGUCAUCUUUGUUAAACUAUGUUAUGCUAUGCAAACAUCAUUUUUGACACAUUUUUUUCUGACUCAACAACUUACUUUAUACUAUUUAUUACUACAUUUUCCUUUACUCAAAUUUUCUGCAAAUAUUUUAUAUUGUAUUAACCUCAAAAGGUAAUGAUGAAUAAAGGUAAUGGAUCAAUAAAAAUCUAAUGACAGGGAAAAUAAAAAUCAGACAUUCUAGUAUUGUCAUACCAUCAUUAUUGAAUAAACUGGGUUUACUGAACCCUGACUUGUUUGCACUCUUUGCUGCUUAAGGUUUAUUUCCUUUUGGAGAUCUAUUCUGCUGCAUUUCUAGACAGACUUAUCCUUCCCUCUUCUAUUUCAAUCCUUUGUUAUACCCUAAAACACUUCACUGUGCUUAAUGAUAUUUAUUUAUAGUUGCUUACAUGUCUCUCUUUCCUACUAGAAUUGAUAAGCUUAAGAUAGAAAUAAUAGCUUCAAAAUGAUUUUUGAAAGAAUAAUAAAGAAGUUUUGCAAGGAUAUCAUAGAAAACUCUUUCUUCUGACCCAUUUGUAAGUCAUCAAUUCAUUAUUCAUUACCCUCAGCUUCUUUGGGCUGUAUCUCCUACAAUCAAUGACAUUUUCCUUGUGAACACAAUAAAAUUGGCAAUAUCAGGCUAUGCAGACUGAAUUGUGUUUCUUGUUCUUCAGUUCAUAUGUUGAAGCCCCAACUCCAAGUUUAGAUGUGGGGUCUGUGAGAGAUAAUUAGAUUUAUAUGAGAUCAUGAGGCUGGAGCCUUCAUGAUGAGAUUAUUCCUUUAAAAUAAAAGUUGCCAGACAGCUAGCUUCCUCUCUUUCCACCAGAUGAGGUUAUAGCAAGAAGGGUAUCAUUUGCAACCCGGCAAGAGAGCCCAAUUUGGGGAAUCUAAUCUGCUGGUUCCUUGAGCAUGGACUUUAUACCUCCAA